CGCGUCCCGCGCCUUCCGUGGAGCGGUGGCUUUUAGACUGCGCAUUCCUCGGCUGGGGGAGGGGGUGCUAGGUUUACGCUGCCCGGUUCCUUUGCUCCACUGCUCCCCCCCGACCCCCACGUCCCAGAGGCCUCAAGGUGACAGGCCUCUGGACCCUGGACGCCGCGCUCCCCCGCCUCACUCACCCCAGGUGCGAGCGACUGGCGAGGCCAAGGAGGCCCAGCGCUUCUCCGGAGCGCGCGGAUGAGAGAAUUGAGACAACAGGAAAAUUAUAUGCACUGCCUAAUAUAAUACAGCAGGGUACAAGCUUCAGGAGGGCAAAGGAUAUCGUCUCUCUUGUUCAUUCCUGAAUCUUCAGCAUCUAAUACAGUGCCAGGCAUAUGGUGCUGGGUUGCUGGGUGACUAUCUAAGAAAAUGCGUGUAAAUUACCCAGCACACUAUUCAAGUGAAAGCUACAUUCCUCAGCAGUGUCUGGAAUUGCCUGGAGAGACCGACCUUUCUGAUUCUUGAAAACCACAGCACACAGCCCACAAGUUCCGAGCUGACUCACUGGACAAGUUUCAGAUGUGACCUUUUUGAAAUGAUACCUCUUCUGACAUGAGCACGUGUUUUCCUAUCCAGGCCAAUACUUUACAUUCAAUCCUGAAAGUAGGCACAGAGGGGAAUACAUAUCGUGGGCACCAUCUAUAAUUAAAGAUGACAUUUUUCUGAACUUGGAAAAUAAACAACAACCUGCUGAAUGAAUCAGGGCAGAGAGCACCACUGAUAAAAUCAGCAAAAAGGAGAAGCCCCUUUUCAAAUCAUAUACCCCUUGAAUUACAUUAGCAAUUUAGUGUGUCAUCUGUUAUUCAGCCAAUUUUGUAGA